GAUGAGCCUACGUUAGAUUAGCUAGUUGGUAAGGUAAUGGCUUACCAAGGCUAUGAUCUAUAGCUGGUCUGAGAGGACGAUCAGCCACACUGGAACUGAGAUACGGUCCAGACUCCUACGGGAGGCAGCAGUGGGGAAUAUUGGACAAUGGGCGAAAGCCUGAUCCAGCUAUGCCGCGUGAGUGAAGAAGGCCUUCGGGUUGUAAAACUCUUUCAAUAGGGAAGAUAAUGACGGUACA
rnacentral:rRNA from 1 species